rnacentral:rRNA from 1 species
GACGAACGCUGGCGGCGUGCCUAAUACAUGCAAGUAGGACGCAGUUGCGAACGGGUGAGUAACGCGUAUGUAACUGCCUAUUAGAGGGGGAUAACUAUUGGAAACGAUAGCUAAUACCGCAUACUAGUAGAUGGACCUGCGUUGUAUUAGCUAGUAGGUAGGGUAAUGGCCUACCUAGGCGACGAUACAUAGCCGAACUGGGAGGGUGAUAGGCAACACUGGGACUGAGACACGGCCCAGACGAAUACGGGAGGCAGCAGUAGGGAAGCUGCGGCAAUGGGGGGAACCCUGACCAAGCAACGCAGCGUGAGUGAAGAGGGUGUUCGGAUCGUAAAGCUCUGUUGUUAAGGAAGCGGUACUUAACCAGAAAGGGACGGCUAACUACGUGCCAGCCGCCGCGGUAAUUC